UCGGGUAUGGUGUAACGGCUAACAUUGCCGCCUCUCAUGCAAGAUCGCGGCAGCUCGGGGUUCGAUUCCCCGUACCCGAA
rfam:Hypholoma sublateritium FD-334 SS-4 unplaced genomic scaffold scaffold_83, whole genome shotgun sequence.